GAACCAGCGCGUUGCUUGAUCUCCUGUAUGACAUUAUCAACAAGGUCAUGAAGAUCGAGGAAGAGCAAAGGAAUGUCCGAUACGACUUAUGGAAAGCCUACUCCCUCGCUGCACGCCUCAACGCCACACAGGACGACGACGGCUAUUGAGACUCCCGAGUACACACGUGAGAGCGGCCUACUGGAUACACGGAAACAUGUAAAUCCUCAUUCCACAGCGUGGUAAUAAAGAGUGUGCAUACCUU